GCACAUGACGAUGAUUGUUUGCGAGUGCAUGAAAUGUCGCAUGCCCAAGGCAUGGAUCGGUCGUCGUGUCCAUGCUUCUUAGGGUGUCGUUCAUGCUCCAAUGGAAGGAUUGUAUCUGAGAUACUAUGGUGCUGCAAUUGGGAAGGGUAGGCAAGCUGCAAAAACGCAAGAUACAAAAUUUACUUGUCUUGAUUCUUCUUGUGGGGUUUUGACUAGAGAAGAAUUCAUUGUUUAUUUUCAAUUGAAUUGCUAUAAUUUGAUUUAAUUUGUUUUCUACAACCUAGUGUGUAUCAAAUUUGCAGUCUAACGUUGUUGGAAAGUAUUCAUCAAGUUUAUAUGUAUUAUUUUUAGUUCAUUAACGGUGGCGUGAGUGAUUGAACUA